GGAUUGUGGCUUAGAGGUAGAGUGCUCGCCUAGCACGCGUGAAGCACUGAGUUCGACCCUCAGCACCA
rnacentral:tRNA from 1 species